rnacentral:rRNA from 1 species
AUGCCGUCCUUCACCCCGGUGCCAUGGUCCCCCCUCGGAGAGCGCCAGCGCUUCCUCGCCAUCCCUGAUCAGCCUCAGGGCAACCAGGCAGUGGUGCUCACCUCGCGCCGUGGCCUUGUUGUUGUGUGCGCCGUCUCACUCGACGCCCCCAACAGCGUGAUCCUGACAGUGUGCGAUCCAAUCGCCGGCACAAGUCGCCGGCUGCCUCCGUUGAAAUUCGACAAUACGUCUUCUCGAAUAAAUGGAUGUACCAUUGUAACCCGUGCGGAUUGUUGCCGGGCCAAACGGCGAGGGGCGGCGCCGUCAGUCUACUCGUCCUUCAAAGUGUUCAUCAUCAGCUUCGACACACAGUACAAUUUUCACGUGUUCGCGUCCAAUGAGUCGAGCUGGAGAACGCCUAUAAACUGGUUUAAACCUGUGGAUUAUGCCGGACAUGUGGUGCCACAGCAGGUCAACAUUGUCGUGUGCCGAGGCAUGGCACACUGGCUCUUUGGGUACAUGUCAAACUUCUACACACUCAAUGUGUGUGCUAAGACCACGCGGAUGUCUUUAACUAAGCUACCAGUCACACCGAACCACCUCGGCCUCAAGUUUUCCAGUGCCCUGCUUAAUGUCACCAGUGACGGGAAGCUAUCGUUGCUUGGUUUAUAUACGGACUGCACCGGGCUGGAGAUCUGGACACAUCAAGGUGACAACAAGAGUGAAGAUGCCACGGCAGACUGCUGGCAUUACACCAAGAUGAUUGAGCUAAAACAACCCAAGCACAGUGCGGUCAACCUGGUGCAAUGUGUGUGCGUGAGCGAGAUAAGCGGUAAACUGCUUGUCAAGGACAAUCAAGAUUGCGUGCACAUUGUACAUCUCCAAACUGGGGCGAUGGACAAUGUCACCGACUGGUUUUGCGGCAUUGUCACGAUGGCUGUCCCAUUUGAGGUGGAUUGGCCAGCCUUGUUCAUGUCUCGCUUGGCGCGCGGUGGAAUCAAGCGGAAUAAACUGAGAAGAGCUAUAUCAAAAAUUGCUUACCAUUUAUGGGGACCAAUAGUUGUGUCAAUUAUCUUUGGGUCAGUUGCUAUGAGUCGGUACUAUUAG